CCUACGGGAGGCAGCAGUGAGGAAUAUUGGUCAAUGGGCGCGAGCCUGAACCAGCCAAGUCGCGUGAGGGAAGACGGUCCUAUGGAUUGUAAACCUCUUUUGUCGGGGAGCAAAAGACGCCACGCGUGUCGUUCCGAGAGUACCCGAAGAAAAAGCAUCGGCAAACUCCGUGCCAGCAGCCGCGGUAAUACGGGGGAUGCGAGCGUUAUCCGGAUGUAUUGGGUUAAAGGGGUGCGCAUGCGGAAGAUCAAGUCAGGGGAAAAAUUGAGAGGCACAACCUCUUCGAGCCGUUGAAACAGGUUUUCUUGAGUGAGCGAGAAGUAUGCGGAAUGCGUGGUGUAGCGGUGAAAUG
rnacentral:rRNA from 1 species